GUGGGGAAUCUUCCGCAAUGGGCGAAAGCCUAACGGAGCAACGCCGCGUGAGUGAAGACGGCCUUCGGGUUGUAAAGCUCUGUUAUAUGGGACGAACGUAUUUAUGGUCAAUACCCAUAGAUAGUGACGGUACCGUAAGAGAAAGCCACGGCUAACUACGUGCCAGCAGCCGCGGUAAUACGUAGGUGGCAAGCGUUGUCCGGAAUUAUUGGGCGUAAAGGGCGCGCAGGCGGCCUGUCAAGUCUGUCUUAAAAGUGCGGGGCUCAACCCCGUGAUGGGACGGAAACUGGCAGGCUGGAGUGUCGGAGAGGAAAGCAGAAUUCCUAGUGUAGCGGUGAAAUGCGUAGAUAUUGGGAGGAAUACCAGUGGCGAAAGCGGCUUUCUGGACGACAACUGACGCUGAGGCGCGAAAGCCAGGGGAGCAAACGGGAUUAGAAACCCCAGUAGUCC
rnacentral:rRNA from 1 species